AACGCACCUUGCGCCCCUUGGCAUUCCGAGGGGCACACCCGUUUGAGUGUCGUGAAAUCUUCAAAAACCCUUUUUUCUUUGAACCAUUGUGGUCGGAAAAAGGAUUUUUGGACUUGGAGGCUUUAAUGCUUGCCCUUUCUUUUUUUUGAAAGCGAGCUCCUCUCAAAUGAAUUAGUGGGGUCCGCUUUGCUGAUCCUUGACGUGAUAAAAUGUUUCUACGUUUUGGGUUUAGCACUGUCCCUUGGAUGCCUGCUGCUAACCGUCUCAUUGACAAUGAUGGUGCUCCGGUCACUGCCGUCUACGUCGGCGGGAGGCUGGACCCACAAAAAGAAAACCUUGACCUCAAAUCGGGUGAGACUACCCGCUGAACUUAA
rnacentral:misc_RNA from 4 species